UUUCUUGUCUCUACCUGAAGGCUGAUGGUCUUUAAGUUCCAAUUUCCCUCUCCUGGUGGACUGUGUCCAGACAGCUUUCGCUCACAGAGCAGACGCUCUCCAGGUGAGUCAAAGGCUUCAGAACCAAGCCAAUCAAGCUACUGAAAUCCUAGGAGAAGUCAAAUCAAGGCAGUACAUCUACAUUGAGCCGAAGUAUUUGCAAAGUGCCGUGCUCACAGCUGUGGGAGAUGCAACACCGUGUCAGAUCUGGCGAGAAAAUAGAACAGGAGAGGAAUGGCCACAGGCCAGAGAGAGACUACGGUACGAGUGUAAAAAGUUCGGCUCAAGAACUAUCGAAAAGCAAAAUAGUAGGAAGGAUGUUUCUAGUGGUUCUCUUCAUCCAUAACCUUUUGUGAUGGCUUCUUGCAAAGUGCGGCUUCUGCUCCACAGCUCGGGAGGAGGCUGGUGAGACCGGAGAAGAACAUUCUCUGACACGCAAGGAGGCUUGUGGGCACAGCACCUGCCUUAGUCUUUUAUUGCUGAGGUAAAGCAAACAUCAACUUGAUUGAUGAUCUGGGAGAGCCUGGGGGAAACAAUCAAUAGGUAUUUGUGGACUGGAUGACUGACAGAUUUUUGAGUAGGGAGUGCAUGAUGAAAGGUAUUGUACCAAGACUAUUUUGGAGGUGUUGUGUGGGAGAACAGAGGGACUAAGGCCCCUCUGAUAAGUGGGGGGGGGAAAUCAGCCAUCUGCUCUGAUGGGCCGGCCGUGCCUAAGCAUCCACACCGGGUAACACCUGACCUUGCCAUCCCUCCUCGCUCUAUCACCUAGCAUCAGGCAGCUUAGGGUGCCUCGAGCACUCAUGAUUAUUGGAGCAAAUUAUUAUUUCUCUGCUGCUUCUGAGAGCUGGAAGAAUAAUUAUACACUGGGGGAGGGAAGUAUGGAAAAAAAAUAAGGGGCAGGAUUGGGGCAGAGAGAGGACAACAUUAAAAAAAAAAGUAACUUAAAGAAAAAAUGGAUGAGUUGGAGAGUAGGGUGUCAUUCUUUUUGUUUCGGUCUGUUUUUAAUUUUCUGACAAUUACUAUUUGUGUGGUUGGGGAUAAGGAACUAUCUGCCUUGUACUUUUGUUUCUGUUUCUGUAUGGC
rnacentral:lncRNA from 1 species